GAUGAACGCUGGCGGCGUGCCUAAUACAUGCAAGUCGAGCGAACGGACGAGAAGCUUGCUUCUCUGAUGUUAGCGGCGGACGGGUGAGUAACACGUGGAUACCUUCCCUAAAAACUUGGAUAACUUUGGGAAAACCGGACUAAACCCGGGUAAAUUUUUUAACCCCCAGGUUCCAAACUUAAAAACCGUUUUUGUGGCACUUAAUAAUGGAACCCCGCUGGAUUAGCUUGUUGGUAAGGUAACGGCCUACCAAGGCAACGAUGCAUAGCCGACCUGAGAGGGUGAUCGGCCACACUGGAACUGAGACACGGUCCAGACUCCUACGGGAGGCAGCAGUAGGGAAUCUUCCGCAAUGGGCGAAAGCCUGACGGAGCAACGCCGCGUGAGUGAUGAAGGUCUUCGGAUCGUAAAACUCUGUUAUUAGGGAAGAACAUAUGUGUAAGUAACUGUGCACAUCUUGACGGUACCUAAUCAGAAAGCCACGGCUAACUACGUG
rnacentral:rRNA from 1 species